ACUACCUCACUUCAAAUUGCCGUUCCCAAAAGUAUCUCCUAAGUUACAGGGGAAAAUUCAGCACCUCAUCCUUCCAAAGCUUCCUUUGGAGCUGAGGGAUCCAACGAUCCUUCCAGAGAUCCAACAAUGCUUCACUGCAAAUGUUUCUUUGUGGGGGCCUCUGUGAGAACUUACUUGAAUUUUGGCCACCUUGCAUUGCUGGUCAAGGAUGCUGCAGAUAUGGACACCUGCCAACCUACCAGAAGUUCAGUUCUAAGCUGCCCUGCCUGCCAUUUUGAGUGAGCCAACACUUCCAAGUUCUUGAGGGACUAAGUGCCAACAUGUCAAAGAGGUGGGGAAAUUUAAGGACCCAUACCAUCAAAAUGCUUGCUGGUGAUGUUCAA